rnacentral:rRNA from 1 species
GUCGAACGAAGUAGCAAUACUUAGUGGCAGACGGGUGAGUAACAUGUAGGUAUCUACCCUUUGGCCUGGAAUAACACGAGGAAACUUGUGCUAAUACCGGAUAAGUCUUUACAGAGAAAGCUUUAUGCACCAUUGGAUGGGCCUGCACUUGAUUAGUUUGUUGGUAGGGUAAUGGCCUACCAAGACUGUGAUCAAUAGCUGAUUUGAGAGGAUGAUCAGCCACAUUGGGACUGAGACACGGCCCAAACUCCUACGGGAGGCAGCAGUGGGGAAUCUUGCACAAUGGAGGAAACUCUGAUGCAGCGAUGCCGCGUGAGUGAAGAAGGCCUUUGGGUUGUAAAGCUCUUUCGUCGGGGAAGAAAAUGACUGUACCCGAAUAAGAAGGUCCGGCUAACUUCGUGCCAGCAGCCGCGGUAAUACGAAGGGACCUAGCGUAGUUCGGAAUUACUGGGCUUAAAGAGUUCGUAGGUGGUUGAAAAAGUUGGUGGUGAAAUCCCAGAGCUUAACUCUGGAACUGCCAUCAAAACUUUUCAGCUAGAGUAUGAUAGAGGAAAGCAGAAUUUCUAGUGUA